GAAAGAGACCUCUUCUGAUCUCACCUUGUUCACAACGGUCCCAAAAUCUGUCAAAAGCAAGAAUGGUGUUUUGGAGAAGGAAGGAGGUAGGACUAUGUCCAUGUUUAAGGCAAUGUGAAACAAGAUGAGAAAGGGCGGCUGCAGCACAUGCAAGAUUUGGGGAGAAGAAAUCAAAAGUUGAACUUGGAGCACACAGUGGAUGGCAAUCACCAGGAACAUUUAAGUCUGACCCCCAGGAACCCUCAGGAGUAAAGGAGUGAUGAUGAGGGGAUGGAUUACCCAAGUUACUUGAAAUGAGAACUCCAUCAUUUACUCUGGAUCUUUAAGAGUUAAGUAUGACAUGCCGAUAGGAUUGGAGAAUCUGGGGACAUUCCAGUUCUACUAAAUUGAUGACAAUGAUCAACAUAUUUCACAAUUCUAUUUCUCUUUUCAGGUAGAAUUAUUUUUCACUGCAAAGUAUUCAUUAUUGGGAAAAGUAGGUUUUAAAAAAAAUUAACUUAUAUUUAAUUUAUUUAUUUUCUUAGCAUUCUGACAAAUAGAGGCAAAAAAAGCCAAGACAUUCUUAGGCUUAGGAGAGAGAGACGUAGAAAGCCCCAAAUAAAAUAUCGAAAUCUUUCUUCUACUUUUGCGAAGUGGUUUUUCUUUUAGGAAGAAAUAGAUGGCUAUAGCUGUGUAAAUCUCUUCUCAGAAGAAGUGAUAUGGUAAAGGAAGGAGAUCAUCAGAAUCUCUUUAAUCAUCUGUCAAAUGUUAUUCGUUGCAUUCUAUUAACAAUGUUUUCCUCUUUGGAACAGCUGUCUCCUGUGCUAUAAGCAGUAAUGAAGAAUUGUUAACUGCAUAUUGAGAAAGAAAUCUACUGCCUGAGGGUUUUGCAACAUCAGGAAGUCUAAGAAAAGUCAUGCAACCAAAAUGUUCUACAAAACACAAACUUAGAGAAAAUGCUUCAAAGGGUGCUGAAGACUGAAAUGUACAGAUAUUUGAUGGAAAACUCAGAAAAGAUACAACAAAUACCUCAAGAAACAGAGGAUAGCCACCAUUCUCUUGAUCAGCAUCAUCCUCACUGUCCUCAGAGCUGAAGUAUACUCGGUGCUAGGCACUGAGAAUCUAUAGGCUCUGAAGAAAAGCUCUGCUAAUCUACAACAUAGCUGGGAUUGCUCUUUAAAUAUUUGCACAGGUAUAAAACUGUUACAGGACCGGGCAUGGUGGCUCACGCCUGUAAUCCCAGCACUUUGGGAGGCCGAGAUGGGAGGAUCAUGAGGUCAGGAGAUCGAGACCAUCCUGGCUAACACAGUGAAACCCCGUCUCUACUAAAAAAUAUUUAAAAAUUAGCUGGGUGUGGUGGCUGACGCCUGUAGUCCCAGCUACUGGGGAGGGCGAGGCAGGAGAAUGGCAUGAACCUGGGUGGUGGAGCUUGCAGUGAGCUGAGAUCGUGCCACUGCACUCCAGCCUGGGUGACAGAGGGAGACUCUGUCUCAAAAAAAAAAAAAAAACCUGUUACAGGUGAAUCAAAAUCUUCUGAAGAAAAACUGUCAGGAAAACACACUUGUGGGAGCAGUGCUUUGGGCUUCAGCUGUUUAGCUGAAGGAGAUGAAGGAGAGGCCGGAGGUCUAGUCCUUACCAUCAUCUCUCGUAUAUAAAAUUAUAGUUUUGUUUUUUUCUCUCUCUGGCUAAAAAUUAAUAAUGCAGAAAACUCAGGACAUAGAGAAAGGUAAAAAGUAGAAAAGAAACAUCUCACUGCUUCCUAAACUUUUAUUUUUCUCCAUUGAUCAAAUCAAUUUUUUUCUUAGUCUAUCUAGGUGAGAUUAUUAUGUAUAUAAAUUAUUUUGCCUUUCUCUUGAGUGUUAAACUAUGAAUAUAUCAAAAUUUAUUUUAAUGUGUUAUUUGUAGUGGCUAUACUAUAUUCUCUUAAAUGGACAUGUGAAAUAAUUCAUUUAAUUAUUAAUC
rnacentral:lncRNA from 10 species